UUGCACUGCAGUUGGGAAAGUUAUUUGUCGAGAAACUUUUUGCAUCUUUCUUUUCCUCUUGCUGCGGGCUUCUGCCUACAUAACUCUGCAAACUGCAAUGCUGGUUUCCUGUAAAAGCCAAGGGAUCGCCCGUAUGAGGCUGCCUGCAUUUUCUCUUCCAAGUCACCGUCCUCCAUGGUGCCUCAGGUUUUUGGUCCAGUAAAAUGGGCCUGAUCAUUCUGGCUGCUUUCCACACAUCUCUGUGGGAUGGAAUGGUGAGCACGUGACUGCCCUGACCCUGUCAUUCAUCCAAUACUUCCUUCGUCUUACACACGCUCUUAGGUGCCUCUUCCGUUCGGGGCGCUGAAGCUCCAAAGUCUAGCUCAUCAACAAAGCAAUAAUUUCCACCCUCGUUGUUAGCACUUGCUGACGGCCAUGGUGUGAACGCUCCCACAGGGAUGCUGUCCAGUUACGAAUAGGAGCGACUUUAUUGAAUUGGAAGUUGGAAGAUAUGUGAGGAGCACGCCUGUUAUAAUAACCUCACCAUACAGAGACAAUAAACUAAGCAAGCCCAAGAGCAUUGCAAAAUAUGUGACGUAAUCAGAAAAUGAUAUUUUGAGUGUUUGUCACCAACCUUGUAAUGUAAUUAUAAGCCUAUAAACUUAAUUUUUAUUGCA